rnacentral:ncRNA from 1 species
ACUGUGGAGUGUUGUAUAAACGUUGGUAGCUACGGCAAAGACGGACACGACGAAGCAGUAA